GUGGUUUGACUUACUUAGGGGCUAUCAAACGCUACACCGUAACAGGGUAGUUAAAAAGGUAGCGUUCGGGUUGGUCAGGAAGCAUGCUGUGAGGCAUGGUCAAUCAAGAUGGGAUUUGCCCCUCUCUGAUUGAGAGUGAUAUCUCUGGAGCCCUCGAGUGAUCAGAUUCGAAAAUGCAUGGCCAUGCUACGUACGGUUAAGAGUUAACCUACAAAGGGAUUUCAAAUCAUAGUAUCGAGAAAGAGCGGUCGGUUUGAAGCUAGACCAAAUAUCGUGAGGCAAAGGGAAUAUCAUGUACAUGAUGUUGUGACGGUUCGUCUGAUAUGAUCUUCGUGUGCGUAUAGGAGUUGGCACGUCUUGCUAGAGGCUGCUACCGACUAUUGGGCCGAGUAGGAAUACUCGGGCCAUGUCUAUACGUAUCCGAACCUAAAGGGUCACACACUUAAGGGGCUAGAAGCCCAAUUUGGAUAUGAUCCGAGUUGGAUCAGGUUUAGAAGUACUAAUGGGCCUCAGACCUAGAGGCCCGUCAGGAACCUCUAUAAAUAGAGGGGUGGGGCGCCCUAGGGUUUCAUCCCUUUGGCCGAAACACAUCUGCCGUGCCUCCCACACCCUCGCCCUGUUGCAACUUGCGAACCUAGCAGUCUGGCUUGCGACUCUUCCUCCCUGCACGUGUGGAUACCUUGGAGGUGUUGCACCUGUAGCACUUGGACGAGCCGCGACGAGCCACGACGAGCCGCCGACGAGCCAUGGCACGAGGACGACCUUGCUGCACGUGGACGAGCUACUGAGGAGCUGCUCGAUGUCGACAUGAUCGACUACGUGUUUGACUACGCUGAUCGACUUCGCUGCCCCAACGCGAUUUUACAUCUUCCGCACCAGUGCGUCGAGUGGUAAUCCCGUGAUCCAUAUACGACAGUUUUCCUGGUUUACGCGGUAGAAAAUUUUUGUUUUGCGCUAGCGUAGCCUACCUCGUAGCCCCACAUGGUCACCACGAGGAAGCGCUCAAAAAACACAGGCUACAAGUACUCGGAGCUCUUCCACUCGACUACAAAGUAUUCGGGGGCUUGUCGGGUGUACUCGGACGUGAUCAGGACUUGGAGGCUACGUCACAGGGUAACAUAGCCUACACUGACUCUUGAAGACUAGUCGCGGUGCAUAAGGAAAUAGCUCUGCCCUGUCGGAGUAAGACUCUGUAAUCGUACUCGACUAGGAUUCCAUCCUGUAACCCUGCUCCCCCAGAUAUACAAGGGAGGGCAGGGACCCCCUCCAAAACAAUCCCAUACCAACGCAAUAUACUUGAUCAUACAUACCACACAGUACGUAGGUUAUUACGCAAUCUAGUGGCCCAAACCGCACAAAAGACCUCCUAGGGGGCUCCCUAGGCAGGUUGCCGGUCUACAACACCGACAUUGACUUAGUUAUAUUUAUUUGCAAACAGGUGUGAAAUGCCAUACAAUAAUUUCAACCCCAGAAAGCUACCAGUUGAAGUGGUAGAUGAGGUUGGCAAGAAUGAAUUCAAAGUGGCGGUGGUGAAGUUUAUACCCGGGCACAUCCUUCCCCUAGAAGUCGGAAGAAGCAUCCACGGCUUCUUCCAUGAACUUCUCGGGCAUGAACUCCUCUGCACUCUCCCAGUAGGUGGUGGCCCUGCCUAGAGCCCAUGUGUUGACGAUUACACAUGUCCCAGAGCGGUGGGACGGAGUGGUCGGAUCCGGGUGGCGUGGAGUGGAGCAGAGCUGGCGGUGUGGGCGGAGCAAACUAGGGGAGGGAGGCGGAGCCGAUGGGGCCGCAGGCGACGAUCGGGGGGCUCGCGGGGGCAGCGGUCGGCUGGCGUGGUGCGUUUUUUUUCGAAAUUUUUUUAGAACUGGGACUAAACGGGACCCCUUUUGUCUCAAAAAAUAUAAUUAGUCCUGGUUGGUCAUUGGAGAGAUAUGCUCCUUCCCGAUUGGGACUAAGAGCAACUCCAAGAGACUGUUAAUUUUACCCCAAUACCUUUUUUAGGGAAAAAGAAAAAAAAUAACUCCAACGGUCCACCAAAUAUUCGGGGCGUCCCCAUCUUCCCCAAUCCGCUCCCAUGGUCUUUCCCUUGGGCGUCGUCAGGAUCUGCAAAGUCCCGCCGUUAGCGUCGUCAGGGGACCAUGCACCGGAUCUCAGUGGCCAUGGCGAGAUCUCACUAGGGCACGGGCACGGGCAAGGGAUGCAUCAUCAUCGCUACCACCAGUUCGGCGUUGAGGGGAAGCUGCUGGACGGUGGCGGCGCCGCUGCCGCGGCACAGCAGCUCGACGCCAGGGUUUUUUCUCCAGUCCCGUCGUGGAUAACGGUGAGUGCCAUUGGUGCUGCUCUCCCGUCUUUGUUUGUCUCCACCCGCAACAACACCAAACUACAAAAACGUUGCUCUUUACUCUCUUCAAACUACACAUGAUUCUUGAUGAGCUAGCUAUCUGGACUAGAUUAAUCUAUGUCGUUGUGUCAUUGGCAUUUCGAACUUCCUACGAAUCUCGCUUUUGGAAUUCUCUCCUAGAUUUCUGUCUGACAGGAAAUAACAUCAUCAUUUUCUUUAUUUCGACCUGUCUGAUAUCGAUUCGAGUGUAGAAGGAGGUAUGUUCGGUAGGUCCAAUUACGAUGAUGUGGCAAAUAUUAAUUGAGGAGUAUUUUUAACGUUCUGCUGUGGCCUGAGGGAAAAUUUUUAGCAUAGCUCCCAAUAUCUUAUUUUCGGGAAAAAUUUUUUGGGAACUUUUGAAGUUGCUCUAAUAGUCAAUUUUCUACCACUGGUUGCAUAGAGGGGGAGGAGGCGAGGGUUUUAGGUGAGGACGAUGAGGUGGCGCCCCCCUCCCUUUCUCCGAUUCCUCCAAUCUGUUGUGCGAUGCUUUAACUGUCUCUAUAAAAUUGAUAUGGUUAGAUAUGUCAUAUUCUGUGGGUGGCACCUCACGAUCAGAAUGUGUGCCUCUAUAUAUGUUGUGCCAAUGCAGUCCAUUCGAGGUAGUACCAUAGCCUGACUGAACUACUGAAAAUGAAAAGCCUACCAGACUCCUUCUGCAACAGCACAGUCUACCCCUAUGUUUACAACCUGACUUCCUCCUACAUCGACCAGAACAAUGAGGCCACCAUGGUGACCACCACCUUGGCCAUGUUCAUGCUGGCCGUGUUCUUCUUCAACCUCAACCUCUUCAGCCGCUUCUCCGACGUGAGCGCGAUUCUCAACCCUAGCGUCCGCCUCUUCCUCUCCACCUCCCUGUCCCUCUUCCUGCCGGUCAUGUCCUACCUCUUCUCCGAGGCCAAGAACCAAGGUGCAACGACCAUGGCUGCUACUACUAGCAGUAGCUCCAGUUAUGGCGAGCUCGGCGACGAGCUGUCGCUUCGAGCUAGGACGAUCCUCAUGUGGAUGCUUCUUGUGGAGCUCCUCCGCAAGAAGGUGGAGGCCGUCCUGGUCAGCGUGGGCAUGCAGUGGUACUCAGGCGCCAUCGAUCGCUUCGCCCGCAUCGUUUGGCUCGGCUACCUCGUCUUCUACAAUGUCAAAAGCCCCGGCAAGAAGGCGAUCUAUGGCACCUUAUGGGUCCUCACUGCUGCCAAGUUCCUGCAAAGGGUCGUCGUCAAGAUGGUGCUGGAGCGUUCCUUCGCCUACGGAAGGAACACCCAGCUGCUCAACUCAUACAUGGCCCAGAUCAUCCAACAAGAGCAAGAGCAAGAGCAAGAGGAGCACUCGGGAUCAUCGUCGUCGGCGGAGCUGUUGAAGAAGUGCGAGUACACCGUGAUGGGAGAAGAAAAUCUGGAGAGGACGGCUGGCCGGCAUGGCUACCAGGUGGAGCUGAACAAGGCGGCCGUUGUCACCGUUGGUGACAUUUGGACGCAGGCAGCAGCCGAGCCGGACAGCCUCCUCCGGAGAGAACACCUUAGAAGGCUCUGCCUCUCCUUUGCUCUCUACAAGCUGCUGCGCCGGAGGUUCGAGGACAUCCCCACAACAAGAGAGGAGACCCGGAACUGCCGGAACCUCAUCUUCAAGGGCUUGUUGAAGGAGCAAGAAGGUGCCGAGGUCGCACUGUUCCAAGUCUUCAACGAUGAGACCCAGUUCGUUUGCGAGUACUACCAUUCCGUCCUACCCGUCGUCUUGUCCGACCCUUUCUUCUUCCUGGUCAACUACAUCCUGUUUCCCAUUGUAGUUUCUGCCUUCUGCCUCCUAACACUGAUCAUCUGCGGCAAUGGGAGCGUCCGCUACGCCUACCAGAGCAUCACAAGUGACAACUACAUCAUAUACACUGGCGCGACGACGCUGACCAGAUGCCUCCUGAGAAACAUCGCCCAUUCACCCGAGGUGCUGUUCGCCAGCAUCGACCUAGGCACCACCACUCUGCUCAUCCUGGCCUUCGUCUACGAGGAAGUCGUGGAGGUCCUCGUCUUUAUCCUCUCCAAUUGGCUCAUCGUGUCGCUCCUCUGUCAGUACACCGCCAAGCGCCACUGGCGGCAGAGCCGCAUGGUAUGUUGGCUCAUCCGCGGCAUCCUGUGGGUGCGAAGCAUGCUAAGCCACCCUAACCUCAGCUUCAAGCAGCUCUCCGUGCUAAGGUUCUUCCAACUGUCGUCGCCUUCGCCGAUCAUGGUGCCAACCAAGGCAGUGCCCAAGGAAGUGAUGGAGUCGAUCGUGGAUUAUCUGGUGGUUCACUUGGAUGUCUACGGCAUCGAUGGCCAUGACGACCCUCUCAAUUCGGCCUGGUCCUCCACACUGCAACAGGAGAAGCACAGGGCAUACCGUCCCCUGCUCUUGCCGGUGUGUGAGAGCAAGAGCAUCGCUGAGUUCAUCCUCACCUGUCACAUUGCCACCGCCCUAAUGGAGGUGAGGUACCCGCAGGACGAAAAGGAAAUGGGAUCUCAUCGCAAGGUGGCGACGACGCUGUCCAAGUACUGCACUUACUUGGUGGGCUUUUACCCAGGGCUUCUUCCGGACGACAAGAAUGGGACAAAGCACACUUACAAGAAGAUGAAGGAGGACAUGAACAAGGAGCUUGGAGGGUGCUGGUGGUACCACCUGUCGCUGCAGGGAACCAGGUACAAGAGGCUGAUGGAGAUCGGCGAAUCGAAGCAGAAGGCCGUGACAAUGGUGCGCAACGGGGCCAGGUUAGGGACAGCACUGAUCGAGAAGGCCGAGGAGAACAACGAGGCGCGUGAUCGCGUGUGGGAGCUGCUGAACGACCUUUGGACGGAGGUCAUGGUGUAUGUGGCGCCGUCGGCCGGCGACCUCCACGUGAAAGCCCACAAGGAGGCGCUGGCGCGCGGCGGUGAGUUCAUCACCGUGCUUUGGGUGCUGUGUACGCACACCGGCAUGACCAGGCCAGCCCUCGCACCGUGGGAGGUAGCACGUCAUGCGUUUGAACCAUAGAGCAUUAUUGGCUUCCCGUGUGUGCCGAUCUUUCGAGGACAGCUUGCUUGGGAUGGUUCAUCUCACAUGCUCCAUUCCGCUACUAACGCUAACAUUAGUACCGCGUCAUAAUGUGACCGGUACUAAGGGAGUGGACGAAAGAUAUAUUAAAAAUAGAUAUAUAGCCACCCGUUGUGAAUGCAUGGGUUGAUGCCAGUAAUUCCUAGAAAACGAGGCCAACCACAACCUCUUCAUCCACUUCUCCGACGUGAGCGCACAAUUCUCAACACUAGUAAGAAACAGAGCUUUAGUCCCGGUUUUUUAGUCCCGGUUGGUAAGGAUCAUAGAUCCCAAAAAUCCAAUCGAGACUAACUAUUCAAGGCUAAAUGACUCCUUUAGUCCCGGGUCAUUCACCUGGGACUAAAGGUGCCCUUUAGUUCCGGUUGGUGUUACCAAGCGAGACUAAAAAAAUUCCAAAAAAAAUAAAAAAAGCCAUCCGCGCCCGCCGCCCGCCUGCCUCCCACGGCCGCGCUGGCCUCAUGCUGCCCGCCCGCGCCCACGCCGACCACGUGCUACGACCCGCCCGCACCCACCCGACCGACCGCCCGCGUCGGAGCAUGGAAGAAAGGGAGAGGAGGAAGAAGAAGAGAUAAGGUGGAGAGGCCCUGCGUGGGAGAUAAGAAAGGGAGGGGAGGAGAUAAGUGGAGAGAAAGGGAGGCGACGAGAUUUUGUCUUGGUUGGAAUUUCCAACCGCGACAAAAGAUUUACUUCCGGUUGGAAUUUCCAACCGGGAUAAGGGUGGCGUCGAUGUCAGAUUUUUUAGCUGUUAGAACCAAGCCUACAACCGUGACUAAAGCCCCUUCAGUCGGUGGCCUUUGGUGCCUCAUACCUGGGACUAAAGUCACUUUAGUUCCGAGUCCAAAGUCAACCAAGAUAAAAGCAUCAAGAUGGAAGGUCAGUUCUCUAGUAUUGCAAGCCUAGUGUCUGCCACCUCCUCUCCACCAACAUGUCCCUCUUUCUGCAUGUAACACUUUCACACAUGCAUGUAACUUGAUUAAUCUUCUCAUGCGUGUUCACAACAAACGCAUGGAUGAAAAACAUGUCAAGAUUAAUUUCCAACACUUUUUUCUUCUAUAGAUAGUUUCCACUAAGUGGUUCACCACAUAAUAAAAUUUAGAUACUUGUCUCUGCAUAUCAUCGAUCAAUGUUGUUAGAGGGAUACAACAUUAUCAUUGUGUACAUCAUAUCAAUGACCGAACUUCAACUAUUAUAGAUACUGUUAUACUGUUAGCAAUGCAUAUAUCUCAAAUAUUAUUGCUUCUCUUUAAUUAGCUAAAGAAUAGGAUGCUAGAAUGAAAACGUCAAAAGAAAAAACAUAAUGAUGAAGGCAUCAGGUCCUCUCUUUUGGGGGCCAAGAUUCCUGCUGAUAUUGAUAACAAAAGAAGGAUACCAUGGGUUCUCUCCCAUUUGGAACUAUAUGUGACAAAAGUUAUGCCAGUACCUUAAAUGCUAAGGCUUGCUCAUCUUUUGAAUUUUUGUUCUUUGGCGGCCCCUGUCAUUUGAGCCUUUUGAUAAAGUAAAGGAGAGGAGAAUAAGCGCUAAAGGAAAGACCAACUGCUAUGGUGUUACCCGAACACCAUUGGCGGCAUCUUUCGAUUUACAGUACAUGCAGGCACGCCAAUACUCUCCUUCAAUCGUGUGCUUGCAGAACCUAUGAAAACGAUGCUCAUGCUUUGCAAGGGCACGGAAAUUUCGACUCAGAACGUGUCCAGAGGAAAUGGGCCCACUCGUAUGAUUCAUGGGAACAUGAACAAACAGAGACGUUCAGAUUCAGAAGUAUGGAAUUUGCAAGUCCCCGCAACCCACCGCCCCCACGUUGCUCCCGCAUGAGUGACACUGGUGGACGAAACCCUCGCCGCUGCCGCCCCUUCCUCCCUCUCCCCACCGCUGUGCCACCGCCCAAGCCGGCCGCUGAAAGCCUACGCGUCUCAUGAGGACGGCGGCGGUGGGGCGGCCUGCUUCUCCCCUUGAUCUCCUGGUGGGCGUGGCCGCUGUGGAGGUCAGAGGGAGUCGCCCGUAGGGCGACACACGGCCGUGACAGCGAGGCCGGAUCCGGGGCCCCUGUGGCCGGAUCCGGGGCCCUCGAUGCCGGAUCUGUCUCCAAGUGCGGUGGCGGUGGCUUCCCCCACGCGGGGCAGUGGUCACCCUGCCCGGUGCGGAAGCUGCACGAGCGGUGUGCGCCAGGGUGGAUGCCGCGCGGUGGCGGCUGCGUGGGCCAAGGCUGAGCAAGGGGCGAAGUGGGCGGCCGCGGUCCUAUGGCAAGGUGGGGUCAACGUGCAGGCCUCCUUCGAUGACUACCUCCAGGACCGCACCAUGUUCCCCGACGAGAGCAAGAGCCAGCGGAUCAGUGAUGGGGAGUGGCGGGUCCAGAUGCUGCUGCUGCAAUUCCUCCUCGUCACAGUGCGCCCUGUGGUCAUCAUGCAGCUGCAACACCGCACUGGUGGGCUCGACCCCAGUGGCGACAUCUGCAGUCCUCGGCGGUGAGCUCCUAGGGAGCGGUGACAGUGUGAAGGCGACAACGGCGAUCUGGGUGGUGCGGCGGUGGUCCCGAUGCGAGGCAAAGAAGGCACAUGGUAGCAGGGGCCGCUAGGAGGUGGGGACACGGAGGAGGCGCCGAAGGACAAGACGAGGAGGAGGUGUCGGGCAUACACCUCAGGGCCACGAGUAGGCCUUGUACGGCCCACCCAGGGGCGUACUCGGACAUGAGCAGGAGUUGGAAGCUAUGUCACAGGGUAACGUAGCCUACACGGACUACUGAAGACUAGUCUUGGUGCAUAAGGAAACUACUCUACCUAGUUGGAGUAGGACUCUGUAAUCAUAAUCGACUAGGAUUCCACCCUGUAACCCUGCUCCCCCGAUAUAUAAGGGUAGGCAGGGACCCCCUCCAAAGAACCAACUCAUACGCAAUACAAACAUCACACAAGACGUAGGGUAUUACGCGUUCUAGCGGCCCAAACCUGUCUAAAUCGUGUGCCUUGCAUCACCAUCAACUCCUUGAUUCUCGACGUCUCCACCACACAAAAUACCUCCUAGAGGACUCCCUAAGCGGGUUGCCGGUCUAAAACACCAACAGCUGGCGCACCAGGUAGGGGAAGUCGCCGAGUUUCUUAGCGCGAGAUCGAUGGCACCAAUUGUCAUCAAGCCAGCGCUCGCUUUCAAAGCAGGCGCAACUUUCAUCUUCGACUCCUGGCUUUGCAUCACCAACGGCGCCGGAUCCUUCCAGUGCUACCUCAUCGACAACCGGGAGAAAGAGCAUCUCAACGAAAACCCUCUUCGUAAAGAAGCAGACAGCCUCAUCGAGAAAAUCGACAAAUUCAAUCUCAGAUCAAGAUUCGACUACAACUCGAAGUCCAACGACGACUCCGAGUUCGACUACAACUCGAAGUCUGACUAUGACUCCAUUUUUAGUUUCGAGUUCAACCCCAACUUGGGGUCCAACUACAACUCCAAAUCAUAUCCAGGUCAAACUCCAUUCGGACUCCACAACGCAGCCACGGUCCAUCACUCCUUACUCGAAUCCAAUUCGGACUAGAGUCGAAGGAAGACUAUGCUACGACUCGGAUACACCCGAAGAGUUCAUCAGCAACUGCCACAGCUUCGUCGAUGACGACUUCCACGGGCGGCUCGCCGGUGACUUCUCCGACUACGUCGCGGCGCUCACUUAUGACUAUGGGCGGCUUGCUAACAAUUUCUUGGACUAUGUCAUGGUACUCGCCGACGACUACUUCAACAGGUGGCUCACCGGUGACUUCUCUGACUACGUCGUGGUGCUCACUGAUGAGUACGGGCGGCUCACCGACAAUUUCUCAGACUACGUCAUGGCACUCACCGACGACUACUUCGCUUGGCGACACACCGACGAAAACUUUGUCUGCUCACUGACGACUUCUCCGACUACGACACAGCGCUGGCUGACGACUAUGGGCGGCUCGCCGAUGAUUUCUCGGACUACAUCGUGGCACUCGACGACGGCUACUUCGACGGACGGCUCCCCGACGACUAAUCCGACUUUGCGACGUCCCUCGGCGACCCACCGAUGACUACUUCAACUUCGCGCGGGCGCUCGACAACUCGUUGAUGGCUACUUCGCUCGGCGCACACCAACGAAUACUUCGACUGCUCACCGACGACUUCUUCGACUACGUUGCGAUGCUCGUCAACGACUACUUCGACGGGUGACUCGCUAGUGACUACGUCGACUACUUGUCCCGACUAGAAAACUAGUCGGGGCAGAUUUCGCACCAUCAACGACUGGUCGGAACCGACUCCGACUAGUCAGCUUCGUCAACAACCGUCAUGGUUUCAUUGACGACCACCUUGGCUUCAUCGACAAUCAUCGACGAAUCAAGCUAAGUCUCUUUUCUGACAAUUUCCUAGCUUGAUUUCCUCUUGCGCACAAUACGCGCUCUACUCGCUAGAGGGCAGCAAACUCUCGCGCACAACACGCACUCUACUCACCGGAGGGCAGCAAAACUCUUGUGCAAUCGUGCUUGCUUUUUGUCGCAGCAGCGACUACUCACUUUUGUCUUCUCUUAAGAUCACUACUCUUCUCAAGAUGAACUUGCCUUGACACGUGAACGCCUCAGGUGCACCUGUGACGCCAAAUGCUAGCACACAUACACGAGACCACGCUCUUAGUUGUGCACAUAGCAAUGCCCAUACAUGUAUAUGAGACAACGCUCUCACACAUGCAAUGGCUACGGCUAAAUGGGGACUAAGAGCCUAAACGUAAUAGGCUAAAUGCUCGAGAAGAAUAUGAUCAAAAUAAGAGCAUGACACACAAUAUUUCAUAUUGAUCACUGAAUAACUUUCAGUAGUUUCAAUAUUCUACAAAAAUGCUACAUAUUGUACGCAUCUUUUCUUUCAAGUCAAACUUUGGCGAUGACGCUCGUCGUGUCACUAAGCAUGCCUCUAACGGCAUAGACUAGUUCCCGAACUCGGGGACUAAGCACCAAUCACUACUCGGGAUAUCUCUAGUGACUCAGCUAGCUCCUAGGCUCGGGGGCUAGACGCCGCAAAACUACUCGAUGUGGCUCCUACGGCUCGCCCAGCGCAUAAGCUCGGGGGCUGGAUGCCGCAAAACUACUCGGAUGAUGACUUACGCAGAGAUUCAAGAUCCUUGAGAUGAUUAUUCAAUCAAUUCAAGGCUCGAGGGCUGAUAAGCUACACCCAUCAGUUGAUUUUUUGUCAAGCCGGAAGAAAAAGUUUCAAGAUUUUGACCCUCAGCCUGAUUCUACGAGUCAACCUAAGGCUCAGGGGCUCCUCCAUAUGGAGUGUGAUUGUCAUCGCACUAUCAUAUAAAGAUUCAAGACAAAGGCUACUUGAAGCAACGUUACGCAAAGCAGAGAGUACCUUCCAGCCAUGUGACAGUACUCGGUUACUCGAAGGCUAGCCACCACGAGAAGCGCUCAAAAAGCACCAGAUAGUACUCGGGCAACCUCUUCAAGUACUCUGAGCUGUUCCACUCGACUACAAAGUACUCGGGGGCUUGUCAGGCAUACAUCCCCAGCCCCACGAGUAGGCCUUGUACGGCCCACCUAGGGGCAUAGUCGGACGUGAUCAAUACUUGGAGGCUACGUCAUAGGGUAACAUAGCCUAAACGGACUCCUGAAGACUAGUCACGGUGCAUAAGGAAACUAUUCUACCCAGUUGGAGUAAGACUCUGUAAUCGUACUCGACGAGGAUUCCACCCUGUAACUCUGCUCCCCCGAUAUAUAAAGGCGGACAGGGACCCCUUCCAAAGAACCAACUCAUAAGCAAUACAAGCAUCAUACAGGAUGUAGGGUAUUACGCGAUCUAGCGGCCCAAACCUAUCUAAAUCGUGUGCCUUACGUGACCAUCGACUUCUUGAUUCUCGACAUCCCCACCGCACAAAAGACCUCAUAGGGGACUCCCUAGGUGGGUUAUCAGUCUAAAACACCGAUAGGAGGUGCGAUGGACAAUAGUGACCCAUCUAGAAGAGCUGCAUGGAGAGGAUGCCGGUGCAGAGGACGGCAACGUGGAGAUGGUCGUGCAAGCGAUGAGGAGCGGAGCGGCGGCUCGAAUGCCACGAGGCCAUUCUGGUGCCGCGGGAACCACUCACAUGCUGACGUUGUGGUGGUGUGAGGAUCUACGCUGGUGGUAGUGGGGGCCAUUGUCGCAGAAAGCUUUGUGUUUGCGCACAUGGUACAACUGAGAUUAUGACGGCGGCAAGGUGGAGGUGAAGUUAUUAGAGUAGCUCGGUGGGACCAUGUCACCCUGAUGGAAAAUCAUGUCUGGAUCCUUGGUAUGGAGUCCAGCGGUGGAAGUGGUGAGAUCCCCGUUUGCUUUAAGGUGAUGUGUACGAGGAGUUGUGUGUGGCGGUGAAUGUGGCUAGAACCCCACACAUUUUGAGUUGCCUUGGAGGGCCAGGAUCCGGUGCAGUGUUUUGAUGGUUGGUGUGUACGGUGCGAUAGCAGUGCUUCGGCGUUGGGUCCUGCAGUGCGGUGGUCGUUUCAGUGUGGUGCAGUGUGCUCCUCCUUUGACUUAUGCUAAUACAAAGCCGUGGAUUGGGAGAUCGAUGACCGUGUGUGUGUGACCUGAGGACGACGACGACAUGGUAGAGAAGCCCUAGUAGCUACACGACUUGCAGCGGACUGCGACGGCCAGUCCUACGUGGCUUCGGCUGGUUUGGCUGGGACAUCGUCGGGGACGAUGGCGCUAGCGAUGAGGGCUACUUGGCGGCUUUUCCUGCUCAGUGGUGGUGGCAUGGUGGUCGCUGCUAGCUCAAGCGUUAGCGUUGAGUGGCUUUGCGUCGACGACCACCCAUAGAGUUCUUUUUUUGUUUUGAGUUGAGUCGGCAUUAUCUGUUGGGAGCUACUUCGGUGGCUCUGUUGUUAUACCCAGUCUAGGAUCUUUCUUCUUUUUAAAUAAUCGACAGCUCUCCUGCCUGGUUUGUUUGAAAAAAAUUCAAAAAUACGGUUGGAUGUAAGAUUAACGAGUUAAUCUUCAUGUAGCAUGUACAUAGACAUGUAACCAAGAAACACAAACUUUUUUACAACGGAACUCAAGUGUAUUUGAGUUGUACAGGCAGAGAUAUGACUAUAGAAAUUGGGGAAGCAGCACUUUGCAUGUAAUAUAGGGUUGAAUAAAUCACCUCUACCGUGGUUUAUACGUCAGUACUGUACAACAAAACCUGGCCACCAUCCCUAAAUUACAUGAUAAAAACUCUAUCAUCUACAACCAACAACUCUAGGUACGGUAGUUGUACACAUUACACGAUAUUGGUACGUAUGUUUAACUUGACCUGAAUGCAUAUGUUUAACCUUGGAGAAGAUAGUCCGAUUCAACCCUUAGAAAUCCUUUAAGAGAUGUGUCCAUGUUAAUCUUGCUACUACUAAUUGGAGAUACCGGAGGAUUCUCAAGUUAAGACGCAUGGGCGGCCGUGCUAGAAAAAAUAAGAUCUCAAAAACUCAUGAAAACAGAAAUUGCACCUCAUCACAAGGUGGACACGGUGCCCUACUGCAGCCCAAGCAACUACUACACUUGCAUUGGUGUUCUUUUCAGACAGUGCUCGCUGCAGGACAAAACGCUGACAGAGAUUUGUUGUUGCCAUUCUAGAAUCGUUUUAGCUGUGGCUUCGUUUCAUUCAGGAUUAAUUUGCAAAAAAAAUGUAUUUUCAGUGGAAAAUAAUGUAACCAGAUUGGCUCGAUUGCCCCAGAAAGAUAUAAUAACUCCAUGCAGUAACAUAUACAUGGUCAUACUUUAAUUAUUGUGCGUACAGUUGUACUACAGCAAGGCAUAUAUCUUAGCUGUCUCUUCGCUUUAACUAAAGAAUUGGAUGCUAGGAUGAAAGAUCCAUGGUUUGGGGCCACUAUUACUAGCUUUCUGCUGAUAUUGAUAACGAACGUAGGAUGGCAUGGGUUCCCUCCCUUUCUACAAAUGGGAGAGAACCCUGGUAUCCUUCUUUCGCUAUCAAUAUCAGCAGGAAUCUUGGCCCCAAAAGAGAGGACCUAAUGCCUUCAUCAUUAUGUUUUUCUUUUGACGCUUUCAUUCUAGCAUCGAUCCUAUUCUUUAGCUAAAGCGAAGCAAUAUUUGAGAUAUAUGCAUUGCUACAGUAUCUAUAAUAAUUGAAGUUCGAUCGUUGAUGUACACAGUAAUGUUAUAUUCCUCUAACAACAUUGAUCGAUGAUAUGCAGAGACAAGUAUCUAAAUUUUAGCUCCAAGUAAGUUUUAACCAAAAGUUUAUCUUAAGGGGUUCCACGACCCAAAUCUGUACUCCCCUAAAAAUAAACUUCAAUGGUAGUCCGACGGACUAUAGGGCCACCUGAUUAAACCUAUGAUUAACGACCAACAUAUCUAUCACUUACUCUCACUAUUUCCUUAUUAUUUGGUGAACCGCUUAGUGGAAACAAUCUAUAGAAGAAAAAUGUGUUGGAAACUAAUCUUGACAUGUUUUUCAUCCAUGCGUUAGUUGUGAACGCGCAUGAGAAGAUUAAUCAAGCUACAUGCAUGUGUGAAAGGGUUACAUGCAUGUGUGUGAAUGCAGUGCAUGCAUGCGCGUAUGGAGAAGACUAGGAUCUGCAUGCAUAUGGAAGCUUAGGGAGUUAUGUGUUACUCAAAGAGUCUCUAGACAAUGUGAAUCGAACGUGUCUUGGUACACUGGUAGAAAACUGAGUAUUAGUCCCAGUUGGAACGUUGCAAAUCUCCCAAAAAACCAUCCGGGAUAAAGCAAUCGAGAUAAAAGGGGGUGUCUUUUAUCCCAGGUCCCUCAACCGGGACUAAAGACACCCUUUAGUCCCAGUUGGUAAUACCAACCAGGACUAAAUGGUUUUGCAAAAAAAAUUAAAAAAUAAAUAAAUUCCUGUGGGGUCCUAGGGAGGCCUCCCCGCGACAAGCCACAAGUCAUGCGAUUUUCACGCGAAAUAUGCGCAUGCGCGGCUCGUGGGAUUCGAACCCACGACCUCAAGCCUCGCGCGUAGCUUCCUUGCCAUCCAACCUACACAUCAUAUCUAACUAUAUAGGGGAUCCAAUCCUUUUAUACUAACUUGUGGGGAACCCUUUAAUCCCGGUUGGAGAUACCAAACGGGAUAAAAGACCCCCUUUUAUCCCGGUUUGCAUUACAAACUGAGAUAAAAGGGUCUGGAACAUUUAUUCCUUCCCCGGAGCACAUGUGGGGGACCAUUUUAUCCCAGUUGGAAACACCAACCGGGAUAAAAGACCCUAUUUUAUUCCGGUUGGUAUUACAAACCGGGAUAAAAGGGUCCGAGGCCUUUAGUUCCUUUUCAGCCACCCGUGAGGGACCCUUUUAUCCCGGUUGGAGUUUCCAACCGGGAUAAAAGACCCCAUUUUAUCCCGUUGGUGUUGUGAGCUUUAGUCCCGGAUGAUAACACCAACCGGGAUUAAAAGGGUGACCUUUAGUCCUGGUUAUUCUUACCAUCCGGGACAAAAGGGUCCCCCACAGGUAGCUAAUUUUUUCACCCGGGACUAAAGGGUCCCCCACGGGUGGCUGAUUUUUGAACUGGGACAAAAGGUAACUUUUAGUUCCGGUUGCAAAUACCAACCGGGAGUAAAGCUCUGCGAACGCCCUUUUGUACCAGCCUUCUUUAAACCGGGAUUAAAAGGAAGCGCAUCGAAAGUUAGUUCUCUACUAAUGGUAGUGUGAAACCCGGUAGUUCCUCAGCUUCUCCUGCUUCGAAUCUGAACUCCCCUCCCCGUGCUGACAGAAAAAGGGGUAUUUAUACCCUAGAGACGCCAUGGUAUAAAAGAGAAGUGGGCGAGGUGAAAGCCCAUGCCGAUCGGCCUAGGUGGGUCCAAGCCGAUCGACCUGGCCCUUCCUUUCAUCCCCAAUUGCUCAAUGGAAACUCUCAUUUCAUCAAGUCUCUCAAAGCCUAUGCUAGAACAUUGUCAACCUAUUCUACUUACAAACAAGUGGUAGGCUUAUCUGGAUCUUGGUAGGUAGAAACAGUCCUUGCAAAGUAUAAUAGUCAGAAUAUUAUCAAAUUAGGAAACACUUCUAUUGGGUUGUCAAAAAGGUCAUGGAGAAAUAGUUGCUUAUAGAGAGAGAAUGGAACACACACUUUUUUAGAUGGCGGACAUGUGCAAGGGAAAAUAGGUGAUCCCGAGACACAAAUGAAGUUAUUGUUAUCGAGUUGCAUAUGGUUAGAAAAUUUUAGUGUUAACCCUGCUCUUAAUCAUAUGUAACAAGACAUGGCACUCCAUUUAGAUGUUCAAUUAAUAUUCUAGCUUAUUAUUAUGGAGGAUAGACAUUUUUCAAUGAUGAACAAGCCACAAAGAAUUUAGAACAAUGCUCUCAAAUUUAAAUCAACUUCAGAACUUUUCUUUCAAUGGAGCAUAAUUUUCAAACAGGACUAGAUCAACAUCAGCAACAGAAUUCUUGCAAUUGCUCAAUGGAAACUCUCAGCUCAUCAAAUCUCUCAGAGCCUAUGCUAGAACAUUGUCAACCUAUUCUACUCAUAUAAACAAGUGGUAGGCUUAUCCGGAUCUUGGUAGGUAGAAACAGUCCUUGCAAAGUAUAAUAGUCAGAAUAUUAUCAAAUUAGGAAAUACUUCUAUUGGGUUGUCAAAAAGGUCAUGGAGAAAUAGUUGCUUAUGGAGAGGGAGAGACUGGAACACACACUUUUUUAGAAUGUUGACAUGUGCAAGGGCAAAUAGGUGAUCCCGAGACACAAGUGAAGUUCUUGUUAUCUAGUUGCACAUGGUUGGAAAAUGAGUAUGGAUUUACCUUUAGGGGACUGGGAAAUUUAUGAAGCUCAAAGAACUAUUGAGAAUUUUUAUUAUCAUCUUUCUUUUUGCUCUUUUUCUUCUUUUUCUCAUCUCAUUUUUAAUUUUAUUUUUUAAUUUUUUUCUUUUGCUUCCUUAGAACUUUUUGCAACAUAAUACUUACUUAGCAGUGGUCAGAGAUAACGCGAUGACUCCAACCCCCAUGCUUGAACGAUGCUCGUCCUCGAGUAUGAAAGAGAGAACUAUUGUGACCCUUUUGAGAUUCAUUUGAUGCUUUCAUGAUCAAGAUCACCUGCACUCCACCUAUAUAUGCUAAACUCCUACACUAGUAGUUCACAACAAUUAUCACCCAUCCAUUCCACAAAAUAAAUACUCCACUACAUAUGUUGAUUUCUCUCAAGUUAUCAUUACAAAAGAAACAUGGGCUAUUGAAAAAGAGAGGGACACAUGAAGGUCCCAGUAUAGAAAAAAAUAUGAACACAUGAAGGUCCAAGUAUUAAAAAAAUGAAGAAAAAAAGGAGUCGGACACAUGAAGGUCCAAGUAUGUGAAUAAAGUGGAAGAUAGCCAUGUUCUCAAUAUUAAAUAUGUCCAAAGGGAGAGAGAUUAUAUAAAAUGGAGUUUCCAUACAUUCCCUAUCCACCACCCACAUAUUCACACACAUGCACAUCUUGAUCUGAUUGUAUGACUUGUUUUCUCCUUAAAUCCGGUUUUUGAAUUUGCAAUAUAUGUAAUACAAGUAUGCUUUAUUUUCAUCCCCUACCUUGAGCUCCACAAAAAGCUUUAUUAGAAGUAGGAAGGAAAAGAGGCAAACAAAUGCCUCGGUAAGGAACCAUACACAUUGAGCGAUCUGAGAUAAUCAUUCGAGGAGCAAGUCUAUGCUUUGUUCUGAGAAUAUUUCAAAAACCUAAGAUAUCUGAGUACGAGAAGUUUGUUACUUCUCUUCUUCCUUUUUAUAUAUGUGCUCUUUUAUUGUACACAAUACUAAGCUAUACUACUGUUCAAAAAGGACUAGUAUACAAAUAUUUGACGGUUAAGAUUAAUUGUAUACUACUGAAACCUUCACCUGUGGUAUGGGUAGUAUACAUGACUAGUAUAAGGGUAUUAUGGUAAAAGAACACAAAUGAUAUCACUAAAAUUUUAUUUUUGACACUAGCAUAAAGUUUAAAAUGCCAUUUCAUUUGAAAUAUCACUUUUCACAUGUAAUAAUUACUAAAUCAUGAAUAUUUAUAUCUUAUAUAUACUUAUAUACUACUAAGUAGUAUAAGCAGCAGGGGAUUACCCCUCGUGUUCCUAAAGAUAAAAUAGAUUACAACUCCAGCGGACGUGCUACAAUUCUUCAGGGCGCCGUGCCUGCCCUGAAAAAUUCCUGAAUGAGGGACGAUUUGCCGAUGAAUACUGCUGAAAUCAACAAGCUGGCCAAGAGCCUUAAAAAGUGGUUGAAUGUUGAAAGCUAAAGUAAGCAAAGCGCACUUGAUCAGUCCAACACACAACUUCCACAAAUUAAACAUGAGCUAGCACGAAGCAGUUCAUCACGAGAUCGACACACGACUGUGCGGACAUGAAGUUGUUGAUGCAUGCGGUCUCUGAUCAUCACGUACCAGCAGGCGGUGAUUUACCAUUACCGCCUGCCACUGCUGGCGGAGGAGACGGUGCCGGCGGAGUGCUCCCCCAUGAGACCGGGUACUCCAGUUCUUCUUCCGUCUUGCAAGGGACCUUGCCGCCGUCCGGGGUGCUUGCAUCGCUACGGAGGAAGGUAACCGGCCAGCAGUAAUAGGUCUUGUUGAUGAUCUUCUCCGAGUGAGCACGCUUGUAGCUGGUCUCCACCACCACCAUCACGGGGAAGCUGCGGUGGUGCCUGUCGGAGAGGUAGUGCACCGACGCGUAUUGUCCUUGCCUGUAGAGGCUUACCCACCUCCUGUACCUGUGCGAGCUGUGCGGCUGCAGGUCGAAGAUGACGUUCGUCUCCGGCUGGUACCAUAAGAACUGCACCAUCUCCGUGAAGGAAGCAUUGGGGUUGUCUAUGACCCUGAUGAUGCUGAUGUUGCACUGGAUCUGGCCGCGGCCGCUGGGGUUGAGGGCGUCGACGAUGAUCAGCAUCGGCACCUCUCCCGCUGGCGAGUACACAGACGUGGUGUUGUCGUAAAUCCACCACCAUUGUUGUGUCUGGACAUAGCCGUAGCUCUGGAGGUCCAUCUCCACGGGGCGGUUGACGAAGACGAUCACCAUCACCACCACCGCGACGGCGAGCACGGAGACCACGACGGCCACCAGUGAGCGCACCGUGGCUAGGAAGGGGAAUGUAGUGUUCUGGCCAGCGCGGCAUGUUGCCAUUUUUUCUCACGUAGGUAGCUAGGGCGGUGGAUGAUGGACUUGUCCGCUAGGGACCUGCAGCCAUAUAUACACAUAAAUUACUGACCGAAUGUUCAUUCCCUUUUUUUGGUUAGAUGACUCAGAUUAGUCUACCGGUUAACAGGGGGCUUGGCUAACAAUUAGGCUGCCUAUUAACCUCCUGUUAGGAUCAGCCAUGGCAAAGUUUUGACGGUUAACGAUCUCCCUAUAUAUCUAAACAAGUUCUUAGGUCAUGUUCCGUUCUUUAGGAGCUCCUAAAAUUCAUGUCACAUUCGAUGUGACAUGAAUUUUAGUCUGGACUAAAGAACCAAACACCCCAUUACUCCCCUCCCCCUCCCACCUCCCACACCAAUGUUCAAAAUUUUGGCCGAAAUUUCAUGAAAUUUGAUCUUUUGGUAGUGACCGAAAUUACUAUUUGCCCGAAAUUUCGGUAUGUCAACCGAAAGAUGCACUUUUUGCACCAAAUUUCACAUGAAAUUUCAUGAAAUUAGGUGUUUUCGAUGGGGACUGAAACUUUUCUGAAAACAAAAUCCCAAUCCCUGCCCCACACCGUCCAAGUAGAAUUAGGACACACUCUUUAUACAGUGAUAAUUCAGGCUUCUGCCAACCACAGGAACCGGAGUUGUUUAAUUUUUUGGCAAAAUGUCGUGCAGAUGCUUACAUACAAAGCAUUCGUACAUGCACCAAUUAUGAGUACUUCUGCAACACCGUGUCAUUAUGCUUUCAAUAUCUGGUCUUUAAAAACCUUAGAUUUACCUAUGAUGACUUGGUUAAUUAAUCUCAAGAUCAUCUGCUACCUAGAGUUUUGGUGGCACUGGAUCAUAGGGCACAGUUGUAUGUGUAUUCAUCAGAAUGAGUGCAUGUGCAUCUAUAUGAUGUCCGUGUUUUUUUUAAAAAAAUAAACCUGCGCAGGUCAUGAUGCUUCCACUAUCCUGUCUUAUCUGUUUGGAUACCAGGGGCUAUACUUUAGCUCCUGUCAUAUCAGAUGUUUGAUACUAAUUAGAAGUAUUAAAUAUUGACUAAUCACAAAACUAAUUGCACAGAUGGAGGCUAAUUCGCGAGACGAAUCUAUUGAGCCUAAUUAGUCCAUAAUUUGACAAUAAGGUGCUACAGUAACCAUUUGUUAAUGAUAGAUUAAUUAGGCUACGUCUCGCGAGUUGGUCCAGAAUUUGUGCAAUUAGAUUUAAAAUUAGCUCAUGUUUAAUUCUCCUAAUUAGCAUCAAAACAUUAACUGUGACAAGGGCUAAACUUUAGCCAAGGACAACCAAGCAACAUGCACGCCUAUAUAUGCUCUUUGAUCAGAAAAGGAAAGAAAUAUUCCCAAAAAAAAGGAAUAUGUGCUGCGGUCCAUACACGUUCUUUGAAGAAAUAUUCCAUACUUAUUUUAUGUCAUUGUAGAAGGACUUUGAAUAAGGUUCGAUGGAGUCACGUGGCUGCGUCUGCUGGCAGCUGAUCGAUGAGUCAUAUUACUAUUGGACUUGUGUUUUGGAUGCUUAUGUUUUGGAUUACAUUCAGAAUGUACGGGCAGGGGCGAAGCCACGUAUAAGAUUUUUAUUUACCACUAAUUAGACUCAAAAUUACCAUAUAAUCCUAGCUUGUAAAUUAAAAUUUACAAGUCUCUUGAGCAGUGCACCACGGUCAAUUCAGCGCUAGCUUCGCCCCUUUGUACGGGGAUUAUGCAACCCAGAAACGACGACUAAGAGCCUCAUUUCCGGACAUGCGUCCCUAUGAUCCUUUAUAUACUCCAAAUGUCUGAGUGGCCGGCUCAUACUUGCCAUGGCGAUGUCUAUCCCUCCUCUCAAAGGAUGGAGCAGCAAGCUCCUUGUAGUUGCGGCCAUGAUAGGAACCCUGGUCGUGGUCGCCAUCGCCGCCGUCAUCAUCGUCGGCCUCACUCCGCCACUGGUCUUCUUCUCCAUCCAAGAUGCAAGCCUCCAAGGCGGGCAGUUGAAACAGCAAAAAUUCUACAACUUCACCCUCUAUGCCAACAACACCAGCCGGCGCAUGGAGGUGCACUAUACCAACCUCAACACCGAGAUCUGGAUAGCCCCGUCUGAGUGGUACCCGGCCGAGGUGAGCAUGAGCGGGUUCGAGCAGCCACCGGUGAGCAUCAACGGGUACAAGCAGCCACCGGACAACGUGACCAAGGUCGCCGGGUGGGCCGAGUUCUAUCAGACGACGUCGUUGACGGCGGCGGCGCAGGGCGGCGGCGCGGGGAAUUGGCCAAACUGCACUGUGGUGGUGAUGGCCAAGGUGUUGUUCAAGGUCGGGCUGGCACGCACACGGCCGUACCACAUCAGGGUGUUCUGCUUCCCCGUCAACUUCCUCAAUACGACUCGGUACGCCAAUUGUACAUACUGAUCUCGAUCGACGUGUAUGCAUGCAUCCAUGUUGUUGAACGUGUACAUGACUGUUGUGACGUGCUCCUUUACCAUAGCUUCAGAUCCUGACUUGUAGCAUUGACAGAGUAUGCGUCUAUUAUGGCAGAGAGCCUCUUGUACAUGUAUUUAACUCAAUCCAGAGAUCAAUAAUGAAAGGAUGCGGUUUUUUUUUAGGAAACAGGAGGGGAAGUACCCCUGCUGAUUAUAUAUUAAUAUAUAGUUGACAGUACACUAGUGAUACAAACCUUGUUUAUGACACAAAGAAAGAAACAAAAAAGAUUAAGAAAAUUACAGUGAAUGCUCUAACCAUUGAACCAUUGAUUGUUUCCAAGACUCUCUGACACGAAAUACUACCAAACUGAAAAUCUGUUUGAACCGUUCCUUUGCAGCUUGAUAAGCUGGCACUAGGGCCUUUGAAGAUGCAGUCAUUGCGUGUCAUCCAAAUACUCCAGCUCAUAAUUACGAUAAUUUCCAUAAAGAAAGGCACUUGCAACUGGUUCCAGCUCAUAAUUACGAUAAUUUCCAUAAAGAAAGGCACUUGCAACUGGUUCCAGAAGCUAACGAGAAUAUCAUAAGGUUGUUGCUGCAAAUCCACAAAGAGGCCGAGAUUGAUCCAACACUCCUGUGCGAAUGGACAAUCUAGUAAUAGAUGAAAGAGGGUUUCUUCCUUGUUGUGGUUCCAGAGGACGCAGUUAUAGGAAGGGAGAGCCAUCUGCUUUCGUUUAAGCUCCACUGGCGGCAGAGCCGCAUCCUGUGUCGGCUCAUCCGCGGCAUCCUGUGGGUGCGAAGCAUGCUAAGCCACCCUAACCUCUGCUUCAAGCAGCUCUCCGUGCUAGGGUUCUUCCAACUGUCGUCGCCUUCGCCGUUCAUGGUGCCAACCAAGGCAGUGCCCAAGGAGGUAAUUAAAGAUUUCUUCAUCGGUAAUGUCGCGCGGUUCUUGGUUUCAAGUACUGCCUGUAUUUUUUUAUUUUUUAUUUUUGCCUUGUCAUUUGGUCCGUCAGAACUAAGUUUGUCGAAUUCCUUCUGAAUAAGCUUGAGACGCUGGUCGUGCUUGUUUGUUGGUGUGCCUACGUGCCGCGUAGUUGUCGUAGCAAAUACUUUCGGUUCCAUAUCGCCUGUGACUGGACCGGGAUGUUCUUCAAUCUGUUAUGGCCCUGUAUUCUGUUUUUAUAUGGAUCCCACAUAUAAUCAAUUUCCAACAUUUGCUUUCCUCUGUACAUUCAGCAUGUUGUCUUUUUUUUUUUUUUGAAGCGCAUUCAGCAUGUUUCGCAGAUGUUUGGAAGGAUGAUCCAAAUUCUGAAUGCACAGACCCUGUUGGGAAAUUGAUUUCCCCACUGCGUGUCUGUGUUUACAUGCAUCUUCUAACUGUGGUUCCAAUGGCCCGUCUAGGCCCAUACAGGCCUAUCAGGUGGAUGGGCCGGCCGGCCUCCUGGAUCAACAAGACCGGUAUCCCUUCUUGGCCCGUCCGCCCCCGCUGUAGAAACAAAACCAGAACCAGCAGAUCCCCCGGGCCCUGAAGAGAAAGACGAUGGCAACAGAAGAAAGAGCUCGCGACGAAGCCGGCGAAAGCCCCCCAAACCCUCCCCAGCCCAGGCAGCGGCGGCGCGACGAGAUGGCCGACGACCCCACCGCCGGCGGCGGGAACACCGUCGAGGACGUCGUCCGCGCGGAGGUGAGCAUCCCCGGCCGGCCCUCGUCCUCUUUGCUGCGAGUGCCGGGGAAUCCGAUCUCCGCCCGGGCCGACCUGGCUCUGCUCGGCUGCCUCCCGAUCUGCCCGCGCGGGUGGCGGCGCCUCGCCCCUAGUUCGGUUUCGGGUUAGAGGUGUCCCAGCGUGGUGUCUGGGCGGGGGGAAUCCGGCGACGAGGCGUUCUCCCUCCCGUUGGCUCGGUUGGCGCGGACGGACGCGGUGGGCCUGGUUGGGGAAAUCUGUGCCCGUUUCGAUUUGGGUGUAGAAUAGGUAUACGUCUUCAAAAUUGAUAGAAUUAGGCCCGUUUAUAAAAAAUUGAUAGAAUCUGCCUGCAAGGCGCGGUUUCCCAGCUGGCCCGUCCUCAUUUACUAAUCCCCACCAAGCUUAGCAUCUUUCCUUUCGAUGAAAUAAAAAAAUGUUAAUGUCAACAGCUCCUCGAUUACCGCAUAGAUUAACACCUCUUUAGCCUUUGUGGCACGGCACCUAAUACUUUCCUCACCUUUGCAGUGCCGUGGGCCCGCCACUUCCCUUCUGGCCCACAAGUCAUGGAGGCGCGCGAGGAGGGGUAUCGGUUUCACGAUGAUUAAUCAAGAAAGGCCCAAGACACGUCACGCUGGGGGUGGGGGAGGGAAGACACCGCACCGCAUGCACCUGCAUGCACCUUUGCCUUUGCUUUUCCCCGGCGUCCUAGGGACCUCGAGCUCGCCCGCCUAGGAGCUCCAGCAGCCGGGCCGCUCCGCCGCCGGUGCGGCAACCACGCCGCCGUCAGACCACCUCGCGCGGCCACCCCGCGCCGGUGCGCCGUGCGCGGCGGUGCUGUCCCGCCGCUCCUCCGCCUACCGUCCUCCUGCGCCACCACCAGCUAGCGCACCGGCAGCACCGCGAGCUGCCGCGCCGCCCCGACGACGUUGGUCAUUCCGGAGCCCGGUGUCGUCACCAGCGUCGCCGGAGAAGGUAAUUACCUGAAGCAAUUUGUAGAAACGAAUAGUACUGGUUCGUUCACUUAUUUCAUUGCUCAAACUUAAUUUCUGCUUAUUAGAGUUUGUGCCUUGUCGUGAGACUAAAUUAGCUGCUUAUUCUGCAGGUUGCAUUCAGGAGAUCGAGCUGCCGGAUCGGAGGAGGUCAUAUCAGCCGUGUUGGUUGUGCACUUGUGUUGCUGCCGGCGGAGAAGGAACCAUGGUGAUCGGGCCACUGAUCUCCAUAAUGUAGUUGAACUAAAAUAAUCCCCUUCUGAGUUUAGCAUCUUUCCUUUGGAUGAAAUAAAAAAUUGUUAUUCCGGAUCCGUAAUCUCAACUGCUCCUCCAUUACACAUAGCAUCUUUCCUUGAGUUUAGCAUAUUAUUUCAACAUUUCAAAACUCUAGAUUCAACAUUUCUUGAAACUUAGUGCAACAUUUUAGAUAAAUCGAUUCAACAUUUAGCAUAGUAUUGUUGAAAAUGUUGAGCUAGUAUAUGUUAUUUCAACAUUUCUGCAAAGCUAGCUCAACAUUGAGGUAAUGUAGUUCAACAUUUUGUGUAGUAUUGUUAAAAUAGUGUAUCUAAAAUGUUGAGCUAAUACACAAAAAGUGUUGAGCUAGUAUAUAUUAUUUAAACAUUUCAAAAGUCUAGAUUCAACAUUUAUGGAAACCACAUUUUAGAUAAACUGGUUCAAUAUUUUGCAUAGCAUUGUUGAAAUAGUGUACCUUAAACGUUGAGCUAAAUAUAUAAAAAUGUUGAGCUAAUAUAUCUAAAAUGAUGAAACUAAGAAAAUAAAAAUGAAAAAAAUAUAUACAGUCAUGUGGGAUCUUAAUCCGUUAGAAAAAUUUCGAAAAGGCUCAUAGUUUAAUCGGAAUUAAAAUUAAAUGCACCGUUAGAGAGAUAAGUAAGUUGAAAAGUUCGAAAUCAAAACUCACAUCACCCAACAAGUAGCUGAAACCUAUCCGUCCUUUCAGCAGCUCCACCCACCUCGCACCAGCAUACUAGCACAUGGUGGUCCCCAGCCACCUCGAUGCCGUUGCGUCGAAGGAGAGGGCGGAACCGACGAGGGUCGCCGGCGGCUCCCACCCCGGCCGAACGCGUCCUGACCGACUCCGGCAGGGGGCGGCAGGGCCUCCCGCAGGUGAGCGCUUCCAUCCGUGGUCCGCAGCAGUAAUGUCUGAUUUUUCGCUUUCUUCUCCAGAAUUCGUCGCAUAUACUUAUAUGUCAUCGUCCUCUUAUUUUUCGCUUUCUUCUCCAGAAUUCGUCACAUAUACAAAGCUUUCACGAUUUCGAUGAGAGAUUUGGUCAUGUUUGUGGCCACGGAGACACAGUCUAGCUAGCGUAGUGAAAAGUGGCACUAGUGAUUGCAAUACGCACGGAAAUUGGUUUUUUGUCUGUUCUUUCUCCAUCUCAAUCAUCAAUCAAAUGGGGGUAGUCGUCGGUACGCCGGGUGGGCCGAGUUGGCCAAACUGCACAGUGGUGGUGGCAGCCAAGGUGUUGUUCAAGGUCGGGCUGGCACGCACACGGCCGUACCAUAUCAGGGUGUGUCCUGCUUCCCCGUCAACUUGGGGAGGUGGGCCAAGCGACAGCUAGCUGUGGUGUGGUGGGCAUCCAGCAGGCGCGCAGGGCCCAGCCGUGGCCGUGAUUAUGCGCCGGGGUGAGAGAAGAAGACACGGCACCUAAUACUUUCCUCACCUUUGCAGUGCCGUGGGCCCACCACUUCCCUUCUGGCCCACAUGUCAUGGAGACACGUCAGGCUGUGGUGGACAAGGGAAGACACCGCACCGCACGCACCUCCACCACUUGCCUUGCCUUUGCCUUCGCUUUUCCCACUUGUGCUGUGGGAAGACACCGCAUACACCUCCAGCUCGAGCUCGCCCGCCUAGCUAGGAGCUCCAGCAUCCGGUCCGCUCCGCCGCCGGUGCAGCAACCACGCCGCCGUCAGACCGCCUCGCGCGGCCACCGGUCGUCCCCGCGAUACACCGCCGCCGGUGCGCCGUGCGCGGCGGCGCUGUCCCGCCGCUCCUCCGCCUACCGUCCGCCUGCGCCACCACCAGCGCACCGGCAGCACCGCGAGCUGCUGCGCCGCCCCGACGUUGGUCCUUCCUGAGCCCGGUGUCGUCACCAGCGUCGCGGAGAAGCUAAUUACCUGGAGCAAUUUGUAGAAACAAAUAGUACUGGUUCGUUCACUUAUUUCUUUGCUGAAACUUAAUUUCUGCUUAGAGUUUGUGCCUAAAUUAGCUGCUUAUUCUGCUGGUUGCACGCAGGAGAUCGAGCUACGGGCGUACGGCCGGAUCGGAGGAGGACAUAUCAGCCGGGUUCCUGUUGGUUGUGUACUUGUGUUCCUGCCGGCAGAGAAGCAACCAUGGCCGAGUUACUGAUCGGGCCACUGAUCUCCAUGGUGAAGGAGAAGGCAUCCAGCUACCUGCUGGACCAAUACAAGGUGAUGGAAGGCAUGGAGGAGCAGCGCAAGACCCUGGAGCGCAUGCUGCCAGCAAUCCUGCAAAUCAUCCAGGAUGCGGAGGAGAAAGGAGCCUCCCGAUCUAAAGUUGCAGUUUGGCUUAAAGACCUCAAGACAGCGGCCUAUGAGGCCAACGACGUCUUUGAUGAGUUCAAGUACGAGGCGCUUCGGCGAGAAGCCAAGAAGAAGGGCCACCAAAGCAAGCUUGGAGCGGAGGUAGCAAGACUCCUAGUCCCCGCUCGUAAUUCCAUUGUAUUCCGUUACAGGAUGGGCAAGAAGCUAAGCAGGAUUGUGCAGACCAUCGAGGCCCUGGUCACCGAGAUGAAUAAAUUUGGUUUCAGACACUUGCAGCAAGCACAGCCAUCAAGGCAGUGGCGACAGACAGAUUCCAUAAUCAUUGACUCCGACACAGAUAUUCUUAGCAGAUCUAGAGAUCGGGAGAAGAAGAAAAUCGUGGGGAUGCUCCUUGAUCAAGCUAGCAACAUGGAUCUCAUGGUUCUUCCAAUUGUUGGGAUGGGUGGGAUGGGCAAGUCCACCUUUGUGCAACUCAUUUACAAUGACCCUGCAAUCGAGAAGCACUUUGAGCUUCGGAGGUGGUGCUGCGUGUCAGAUGAUUUCGAUGUCAGUACCAUUGCAAGCAACAUCUGCCAGACCAAUGAGAAAUAUCGUGAAAAAUCAUUGCAGGAGCUCCAGAGUACAAUAAGUGGAAAAAGAUACCUCAUUGUGUUAGAUGAUGUAUGGAAUCGGGAUGCUGAUAAGUGGGGAAAACUAAAGACCUGCCUUAAGCAGGGUGGCAAGGGCAGUGCGGUACUAACAACAACUCGUGAUGCAGAAGUGGCUCGCAUUAUGACCAUGGGUGUAGCUCAAGCCCAUAAUAUCGAGAAUCUGAGUGACGAGCAUUUAAAGGAAAUUGUCCAGAGCAGAGCAUUCAGCUUGCAAAAUCCAAAUAUGGAAGAGCAAGAUGGCAUUCUCAGUGGAUUUGUUCGUCGAUGCGUUGGAUCUCCCUUGGCUGCCAAAGCCUUUGGCUCUAUGUUGAGUAACAGGACUAGUGUAAAUGAAUGGAAGGAUGUAUUAGCUAAAAGUGACAUUUGUAGUGAGAAAACCGGAAUUUUACCGAUCCUCAAGCUCAGUUUUGAUGACCUAUCCUCAGAUAUGAAGCAGUGCUUUGCAUUUUGUGCUUUAUUUCCUAAAGAUUAUGAGAUUGAUGUGGACCUCUUGAUUCGACUGUGGAUGGCACAUGACUUCAUACCUGUGCAGGAGGAUGACAAUCUAGAAACCAUAGGAAAAUAUAUUUUUGAGGAGCUAACUCGGAGGUCAUUCUUUCAAGAUGUCAGGCAAACACUUCAAUUUGACUAUUUUGGAAGCAGGUUGUCGCUUCGUAAGUCAACCAUAUGCAAGAUACAUGAUCUCAUGCAUGACAUUGCUCUAUCUGUUCUGGGGAAAGAAUGUGUCACUAUAGUUGGUAAGCCGAGCGUCAACAAGCUGUUGCUAAAUCCGACCCGCCACGUCUUCUUAUCACUAUAUGGUUUCAAUCCUACUUUCUGGAAAGAACAGGUUACAAGUCUACUAGAUCAUCUAUUGAAGAAACAAACUGCAAUGCUCCAUACGUUGUUUAUCAAAGAUUAUGGUCAACCCCUUGAUAUAUCAAAGUACACUUCACUGCGAGCAUUACACCUUCCAGCAAAUGAAGAGCUAAGGUAUCCUAAUCUGUCGCCACAUGAACAGCUUACAAGACACAUACAACACCUAAGGUAUCUUAAUCUGUCAUCACAUUGGUUCGAGAAACUUCCUGAAGGUAUAAGCAUUAUGUAUCAUCUACAAACGUUGGACCUCUCUCAUUGCAAAUACCUUCGUCACCUUCCAAAGGAUAUGAAGUAUAUGGCAAACCUCCGACACCUCUAUACCCAUGGAUGCAUAUCAUUGACAUGCAUGCCUCCAGGACUUGGACAGAUCACUUCUCUGCAGACUCUAACAUAUUUUGUUAUUGGUGAUGGCUUGGGAUGUAGUACUAUUGGGGAACUUCAAAACUUAAACCUUGGUGGAGAGUUAGAGUUAAGUGGUCUGCAAAAUGUAACAGAAGUGCUUGCAAAAGCAGCCAGUCUUGAAAAUAAAGAGAGACUCACACACUUAUCUCUCGCGUGGAAUGAUGAUGCCCGUGAGAAACCAGAUUCUCAUAAUGAGGUGUUAGAUGCCCUUAAACCUCAUCACCGGCUAGAGAUGCUAAGAAUAAAGUCCUACAAAGGCACCAAAUUACCGUCAUGGAUAACAGAUCUUAGUCUGUUGCAGCACUUGACUGAGCUCCAACUGGUUGGUUGUAGGCUGUGCGAGGAAUUUCCUCAAUUCUGCCAUUUCAAAGCCCUUGAAGUUCUGUAUUUGAAAAAGUUGGACAAAUUGCAAAGCCUAUGCAGUCAUAUGGUGUCUACGCCAUUUCCAGCACUGAAGCAACUCCAGUUACAUGAUUUGGAGAGCUUGGAGAGAUGGGUCGCAACAGAAGGAAAAGAAGAUGAAUUAUCCUUUCCUGUACUUGAGGAGGUUGAAAUAGAGAACUGUCCAAAGUUGACUAGCCUACCUGAAGCACCAAAGCUCAAGGUUGUAAAGCUGGAUGAAGGCAAGCCGCUGCUCUCCUUAGGAAUAGUUAAAUCAAGGCACAUGUCUUCAAUUUCUAAGCUACUACUGCGUGUCCGUGACACAGAAGCACUGCCUCAGAUAGAUUAUAAUUGGGAUUCAUCACAGAAACUGGAACUAUCUUUGGGUGGCACAGAAGCCGCACCUCUGUCACAACUGAGCAUAUUUGGCUGCAACUUUUUAUUCGUAUCAAGCCACUCACAGCUAACACCUGGGGUCUGGAAAUGGUUUGAACAUCUUGCAGUUUUAACAAUUGCAAAAUGUGAUGUGCUCAUCUACUGGCCAGAAGAAGUGUUCCAAAGCUUGGUAUCUUUGAAGUACUUGUUCAUUUUCUCCUGCAACAAGCUAAUAGGGCCCACACAAGCGAAAGGUGACAAACCUACACAAACAACAGAUCAAGUCCUGCCACAUCUAAACAUGAUACGUAUACACAAUUGUGAAAGCAUGGCACAGCUCUUCAUUCUUCCCCCAUCUAUCAGAAUUAUUCAUAUUUUUGAGUGCCCUAAGCUUGAGUUCAUAUGGGGAAAAGAGGAGCAUCUUGACACAUAUGCAUCGCUGGAACAUUGCCGCGACCCUGCAUCCACCACUGGUAACCUAGAGCAAUCGCCGUCUCCAAUUAUUCGCCGUCCAUGCCUUGUAGAUCUAACUAUAAGAGGAUGUGAUAGCCUGGUAACACUUCCAAAUCUACCACCGUCCCUCAAGGAAUUAUUCAUCCGGAAGUGUGAGAAGCUCUGCUCUGUGUCAGGAGACCUGUGUGCACUCGAGACCCUACAGAUUGUUAACUGCAAUAAGUUACAGUCAGUCAAUUCCUUGGGAGACCACCCAUCAUUAGAAACACUGUUUCUUUCUGGCUGCCGAUGCCUUGCAUCUUUAGGAUGUGAUGGUGGUCGUGGGAGUUACUCUGCUCUUCAGUGCCGUGAGAUCGAAGACUGCCCAGCCAUAGAUAUGAAGCAGUUUUACUAACGCCAUCAAACAGCUGCUUGACAGCUUUGAAUAUGAAGACGUAUCACACGUUCAUUCAAGCAGCUCUGAUGAAGGUACGACCUUUCACUUUCCUCUUAUUCAAUUUGUUUCCUUCAAAUUUCCCUUCUUUGCAUGCCCUCCUAUUUUGUUGACGAUCUGGUUUAUAGAUGGGCUUGCGGGGUGGGAUUUUGGGGUUUCAUCUUCGUUCCGGCUUUUAGACGGUCCUUUCUCACUGACGUGACCCCACAUAUAUUUUAGUUUAUACGGCUAUUGGUUUUCAGUCUUCGAUGCAGUUGAAGUGCAUAGGGAAAUUCUGGAAACAUGUUCUAUCCCUUGGUGUUGAGAUCAGCUGAUGCGGAAUCACUGAAGUACUACUGAAACGAGAUCCUGAUCGGUCUCAGUUGUGGAGAGCAAUUUGUGAUGAAUGGAAGCAGUCCCAAGGCUUCAAGAACUCAUGGAGUCGUGCUGUACCAUUCUCCACUGCCAGGGCCUAAACUAGGUACAUGGAAGGCGCACAGGUUGGGAUAGUAAAAAACCAUACCUUUGUCUGUGUUAGAGCAACUCCAAGAGGCUGCUAAUCUUACCCCAAUACCUUUUUUAGGAAAAAAAAAGAGAAAAAAUGAACUCCAACAAUCCACCUAAACCUUCCCCAAUUUUUUAGCGACGCUAAAAAACAGCCUGCCAUCGCGUAUAUUUUAGCGUUGGCGUUCCUUCCCCAAUCCUGAUUCCCGCACACCCGCGCGUCCCUUCCGAUGGGCCCAAUACGAUGACGUGGCCUGUGUUUGAAAUAUUGGGGGCUAUUUAUUAGCGAUCUGUUGUGGACUGAUAUGCUUUUGGGGGAAAUUUUUUUUGGGAGAACCCCCAAUACAUAGUUUUGGGGAAGAAUUUUUUAGGAUACUCUUGGAGUUGCUCUUAGAGCAUCUUCAAGAGUCUGCCAAAAAACUCUUCCCCAAAACCACAUCAUCCCACAAUAGAUCCCUAAUAAUAAAUUUUCCAAUAUUUUAAAAUUUGCCACAUCAGCAUGCGUGGACCCUAAGCUGGGCUGCCCCCUUCCCCCGCUGGAGCGUUUUCGCGCUUUCGCACUGUGGCUGCCUGAGCAGGGGUUGGUCUGUGCUGAUUUGCUGAACCAUGCAUAUUAUAUGCACUGGGACUGUCAUGCCCUCAGAAAAGCAUCAUCAUCUACUGGUAUGACGUCAAUUCAGCCUCAAACUCUCAACACUGAAGGCCUUCGAGGACUAGGACUACGCCAGCGCCACCCAUUGAAUCCCAUCCCCAUCUCGGCCACGUGCCAUGCCAUGCCCAGCCGUGGGGCACUGGGCAGCCCACGUGCAGCCACUUGUGGCCACGGACGCCCAGCCAGACCAUCACCCCCAAGAGGAGGAACGCCUUAUCUUUUCACCAUGAGAAAGCAGAGUCUAACGGUCCGUGGGCAAUAGGAAAAUCAGCACCGGCGGACUCCUGUGUUCACCUUCAUAUUUUUCGUGGUCUAUAUUAUGCGAGUUAUAGCAGUCCUAGGGAAUUUGUUUGGUGUCUCGGAGUUGUCAUAUUCCUAUUAAUGAUUGUGACAGCUUUUAUAGGAUACGUACCACCUUGGGGUCAGAUGAGCUUUCGGGGAGCAACAGUAAUUACAAGCUUAGCUAGCGCCAUACCAGUAGUAGGAGAUACCAUAGUGACUUGGCUUUGGGGUGGUUUCUCCGUGGACAAGG
rnacentral:lncRNA from 1 species